ACCACAUGUUCAUACAUGAAUUGCCUAAAUCAGGAGACCUCUCAAAGCCAGACAACUACCGGGGCAUCAGCCUGACAUGUAUCACGGCAAAGAUAUACAACCGCAUGAUACUAAACAGGAUCAGGAGCGCCAUCGACCCUCACCUGAGGGAGAACCAAAAUGGCUUUCGCGAGAGGAGAACCACCACAGCCCAGAUCCUGGCACUAAGGAGAAUGAUCGAGGAGGUGAAGAAGGAUAACCUGACAGCUGUACUGUGCUUUAUCGACUUCAAAAAGGCAUUUGAUUCGAUCCACAGAGGCACGAUGGUGAAGAUCCUUAAGGCCUAUGGUGUUCCUCCCAACCUACUCCGGGCUAUUGAGACCAUGUACGCAGGAACAAGGUCCAAGGUGGUUACCCCAGAUGGCAGCACUGAGGAGUUUGAUAUCCUGGCUGGAGUAAUGCAAGGGGACACACUAGCCCCCCUUCCUCUUCAUCAUUGUCCUGGAUUAUGCGCUCAGAAAAGCCAUUAGUGGGCGGGAGCAGGGCCUCGGCUUCACCCUAACCCCAAGGAGGUCAAAGCGACACCCUGCAGUUGUCCUGACAGACCUGGACUACGCGGAUGACAUCAGCCUGCUGUCCAACAACGUGGAGCAAGCACAGGAACUCCUGAACAGAGUGGAGCCGGAGUGUGCCAAGGUUGGCCUUAGGCUAAAUGCCAAGAAAAUAAAGGUCAUCACCUACAACAUCUCACCGGAGCAUCAACCGCAACAACUGGUGGCACUGUGCUGAAGGAAGUCGAGGACUUCAAGUAUCUGGGCUCAUGGGUCAACUCAACCGAGCAGGACCUAAAGGUGAGGAAGGCACUCGCAUGGAGGGCCCUGAACGGCAUGACCUGUGUGUGGAACUCCAACCUCCCCCCGUCAAAUCAAACUCAGCUUCUUCAAUGCAACGGUAGAGUCUGUUCUCCUCUACGGCAGCGAAUGCUGGUCCCUGAAGCCAACCUUGCAGAAGUCUUUAGACGGGUGCUACACCAGAAUGCUGCGUGCAGUACUUAACAUCAGCAAGAGUACACAUGUUACCAACAGGAUCUUGUAUGAAGGAAUACCAAGGGUGAGUGAAAAGUAGCUGCCAGGAGAAUGAGACUGGCAGGACACUGCCAAAGACACCAAGAGCUGCCAGCCAGCAAAUUGGUACUGUGGGAACCAACCCAUGGGCAUUGGUUCGAGGACGUCCUAGACUCGCAUUCGUGGAUGUACUCAAGAAGGAUGCAGGAGCGCAAAGUACCAAUGAACUGGCCAGAUGUAUGGAGAAUCGGGAUGACUGGAAGCAACGGCUGUUAACACUCUGGAGGGCUCGUCUGAGGACGACCUAGAGAGAGAGAGAACAACCAGAGCAUUUGGAGAUUGCGCAUUUGAUUUACAGAUUUAUAGAUUGCUCUCGGGAUGUAAAGAGAAUUUCAGAAAUACCCAUUGCAAAUCACAUUGUCUUGGAGUGCUGAGCUCUGAGCUGAGUAUGUGUAGCUUCAUGUAUGUCCAUUCAUUUAUUUAACCAAAGAUUCAUAUUUUUUACUUGAG
ensembl:lncRNA